rnacentral:rRNA from 1 species
AGUGAACGCUGGCGGUAGGCCUAACACAUGCAAGUCGAACGGCAGCACAGUAAGAGCUUGCUCUUACGGGUGGCGAGUGGCGGACGGGUGAGGAAUACAUCGGAAUCUACUUUUUCGUGGGGGAUAACGUAGGGAAACUUACGCUAAUACCGCAUACGACCUACGGGUGAAAGCAGGGGAUCUUCGGACCUUGCGCGAUUGAAUGAGCCGAUGUCGGAUUAGCUAGUUGGCGGGGUAAAGGCCCACCAAGGCGACGAUCCGUAGCUGGUCUGAGAGGAUGAUCAGCCACACUGGAACUGAGACACGGUCCAGACUCCUACGGGAGGCAGCAGUGGGGAAUAUUGGACAAUGGGCGCAAGCCUGAUCCAGCCAUACCGCGUGGGUGAAGAAGGCCUUCGGUUUUUAAAGCCCUUUUUUUGGGAAAGAAAAGCAGCAGGUUAAUACCCCGCUGUUCUGACGGUACCCAAAGAAUAAGCACCGGCUAACUUCGUG